CGGCGAGUGAAGCGGCAACAGCUCAAAUUUGAAAUCUGGCCGCAAGGUCCGAGUUGUAAUUUGUAGAGGAUGCUUUUGGCGAGGUGCCUUCCGAGUUCCCUGGAACGGGACGCCAUAGAGGGUGAGAGCCCCGUACGGUAGGACCACCAAGCCUCUGUAAAGCUCCUUCGACGAGUCGAGUAGUUUGGGAAUGCUGCUCUAAAUGGGAGGUGUAUGUCUUCUAAAGCUAAAUACCGGCCAGAGACCGAUAGCGCACAAGUAGAGUGAUCGAAAGAUGAAAAGCACUUUGAAAAGAGGGUUAAAAAGUACGUGAAAUUGUUGAAAGGGAAGCAUUUAUGACCAGACUUGGGCUUGGUUGAACAUCCGGCGUUCUCGCCGGUGCACUCUGCCAGUCCAGGCCAGCAUCAGUUUGCUCCGGGGGAUAAAGGCGGUGGGAACGUGGCACCCUACGGGGUGUGUUAUAGCCCGCCGUGUAAUGCCCUGGAGCGGACUGAGGAACGCGCUUCGGCUCGGAUGCUGGCGUAAUGGUCAUCAAUGACCCGUCUUGAAACACGGACCAAGGAGUCGUCUUCGUAUG
rnacentral:rRNA from 1 species